rnacentral:rRNA from 1 species
UGGGGAAUAUUGCACAAUGGGCGCAAGCCUGAUGCAGCCAUGCCGCGUGUGUGAAGAAGGCCUUCGGGUUGUAAAGCACUUUCAGCGGGGAGGAAGGCGGUGAGGUUAAUAACCUCAUCGAUUGACGUUACCCGCAGAAGAAGCACCGGCUAACUCCGUGCCAGCAGCCGCGGUAAUACGGAGGGUGCAAGCGUUAAUCGGAAUUACUGGGCGUAAAGCGCACGCAGGCGGUUGAUUGAGUCAGAUGUGAAAUCCCCGGGCUUAACCCGGGAAUUGCAUCUGAUACUGGUCAGCUAGAGUCUUGUAGAGGGGGGUAGAAUUCCAUGUGUAGCGGUGAAAUGCGUAGAGAUGUGGAGGAAUACCGGUGGCGAAGGCGGCCCCCUGGACGAAGACUGACGCUCAGGUGCGAAAGCGUGGGGAGCAAACAGG